GGCGCAAUGGUUGAGCUGGCGGAUUGUGGACUCUGCGUGCUGUGUGGCUGAGCAGAGUGGAGUUGGUCUUUAUCUUUGAAGAGUUAGUGGGGUCCAGGAUAAGCUGCUCAGGGUUUUGUAUGACAUCUCAGUUCCCAUCUCCAUUCUGAUGUUAAAUCACAGGGCAUAGCUUCUUCCUAGACUGGGAAUCGGCAGCUUUUUUUUUCUUUUUAAGUUGCAUUGACUUCUUUUCGUUGUGUGUGUGUCUCUUUAGUUUGCUCUGAUACUUUGUUGGAAGUGCAGCAUGCCCAGAAUCUGGGAAGAACCAGGCAGAAUUUGAAGAUGGCUCUCAAGAUUUCUGACCCCUGGUGGACAUGCCCUGUAUAAUCCCCUCCCCUUGAGUGUUGGUGGUGUAAGUGGGAGCAUGUAGGCUUAGAGCAGAUCUGAUGGAAUCCUCACUCACUGCCGACAGCUCUGUCCACUGGGUUUGCCACACAGCCACUGCCUGUGCCGUUCUCUCAGAGCCGUUCUUUCCUGGGCCCCCGGGGUGAAGAGACACGUGUGCUAAGCCAGUUAUCAGGAGCACACCUGAUAUAACUGAUAAGACAAACAGUAUUAUUUCCUUCUUUCCUCCCUUGUUGGUAAUUCCACCACAUUUCACCCAUCUCUGUAUUGGAAUUCCCCAGGCAUGUGCCUUUUCCUGCUCUGGGGAGGCUAUACCGUUUGAAGUCAGUGAUCCUUAUCUCACUGGUAUUUGUGGGCUGUUUGGGAAGCAUUGUUCACUUUAUCACACAGUGUUUUCCUUAUAAACUUUCACGGGAG
rnacentral:lncRNA from 1 species